ensembl:lncRNA
UUACAGGUGGAACUUGAGUCACUCUAGUCGUAUAUAUCUUUGUUUUGAUUGGUGUAAAAUUCUCCUGCUUUUCUUUUAAAGGUAUAGGCUAGAAGUUCAUACCACAUGCCUGGUGGGGAGUGGUUGCAUCCUGGAGGUAUAAAGUACGAGUGGAGAGGCAGCAGGAAGAACGCACAUCUUGAGCAUAAAGAUCUGAUGCUGAUAAGUCAAGAUUUGGAAGGACCUCCUUGAGUCACUGGAGGGCUGACUGUUGUGGGAGCAUCAAGAAAAGCUGAGCCAGCAAAAGUUUCAAGGUCCUGAAGAGUUUUGCACCUGGCCCACCACAUCAGUGCUGCACUUGUGCCUGAUCACCAGGGACAAUUGUGUUCCUGUUUCCAUUGUGCAGUCAUGCAGAAAACAUCUCUCAUCCGAGCUCGAAGCGGUGGCGUGAGUUACACAUUGGUGGUGUGAGUCACACAUUACAGGCUGGCGUCAGCCACUUCCAGGAAGGAGGGCAGACAUGGCAGCAGGACUGGUGGAAUGGGGUGGCGCCUCUCUCCAGAAUGUUAGCAUGUUGCUGAAAUCACAUGAGAACAACAAUCUGGAAUUGGCUCUAGGAUUUGAUCACACGAGAACACAGUGAUAGGUCAGCUGUCAUGACCUACUUAGCUUUCUGGAAGGAGUGCUGCAGUCUCCUGAUGAUGGUAAAGCCCUUGUACAGCAAUUCAGUCACAAUGUCUGCUUGACAAUUUGGUUGUAGACAAGUCUGAAUUACAAACUUUUUGCUACUUGUACUGGCAGAGGAGUAACUGGAGUUGCAUGUUUUCAUCCACUUUGCAGAGUGCAAUGCUCUUGUGAGUGGAUUUUGCUACUAUUUCCUUACAUCCAAGGACUGAGGAGAUUCAAGAACCAUGAGUUUUAUUCCACACCCCAAGCAGAAAUCUAGUAGAUUAGACUUAAGCUCUUCUGCCUGUUUCCCUUGAAAUUGACCUUUUUUGCUUCAGUCUUCCCACCUUGACUUCCAACUCCUCGCUCUUGCUUACCUCCAUUUCCAGCCCACACUUUCUUGCCUAGUUCAUCCAAAUUUUGACCAUUUUCCUCCUAGGAUAGCUCAAAUCUCCUCCAAGACAAAUAAUAUAUCAGCCUGUUUCACUUGGCCUCAAACCAACAGCUCAUCACCUCACACACUCCGCUUCUUCCUCAGUUUUCCACCCAGUUUUCUUGAUCAGCCAGUCUACUUUACUUCCAU